UGUUCAGCUACUGUGUUUUCAAUCGAUAUUUCAUUCUCGUCACAAACAAUUUAGCAGAAAACUAGGUUUUUAGAAUCGACUGCUACAUGCUAGUGAAGCGAAAGUGAUUUAUUUUUGGAAAUAAUAGACCAAUAAAGGAGUUUCUUUGUUAUUUCAUUGUCACAGAAAUCUAACACUGGAAAGCCACACGAUAAAGAAACAGGAGCAGUAAAAUAUUACUGCCAGGAGUGCCAGAGAAGAGCAACUAAACCACCUGAUGGAGAACCUAUCAACAUAAUUGGAAAAAAAAUUGUGAAUGAUUAAUCAUCAUAUAAAUAUUUCCCCGGCAGGAAAUUUCAUAUUAUUUGUGAAAGUAUCAAUAAACAUACUCAAAAUUA